CCAAAAUCUAAGAAAGUCUGAAUUGUAUUUCCAAUCGUCUCCAUUUCGGGUCUGAAUUCGCCGUAUCGCUCGUGCUACUGCGGAUACUGUACAUAGAGUCCAGAGGACCCUAUGUUUUGACAGAAGCCGGAAUUCUCGCACCCGGAUCUCUUCUUGGUUUCCUGUCCGGGAAAAACUACCACAGAUGCAAAAGAAUCCAUCCACUACUUGCGGCUGCAACGGAACGACUUCAUUUAGCAAAGUUCAUGACGACUAUCGACGAAGAAUACGUAACUGAGAUAAAAACUGCUCUGAGUAGCUUCACAUUGGAAGACUUUAACAUCACCUUAAAAGAUUCCAGCCUUGCUUAAUUUUACAAAAAAUACGACGAGUUUCGUACUAAAACACUAAGUGGAGAGCACGGAUCUACUGCCCAGUGGAUGUUGUACGUUUCCUUUGUUGGACUCUACCACAAGUUUUCCAGAGCAAUAAGAACUGGUGAUUACCAGCCAUUCAUUUACACCAUUCCUGAUUUUAUCAAUAUGUUCUUUGCUUUUAAUCACCAAAACUAUGCCCGCUGGCUAACGCGAUAUUAUAACAACCUAUUAAACAUGGACAUCACGCAUCCAGGAAUAACUGACCUUUUGUUUGCCGUUUGCCAGAAAGUCAGGUCAAUGACUCUUGAGCAAACAAUAAACGCAGAUGCCGCCAGUGGAUCGUCGGGAAUUUCUGUCCUAACAAACAGUGUAGAUGGCAGAACCCGUUGGAUGAAAAGCCGCAGCAUACGGACUAGAGUAAUUUCAAACAUUCUCGAUUACCUUGAACUUAACCAAAAAGAAAAUGUUUCGAAGGAAUCUAAUUCUUAUGAGAUCCAUUCAUCGAGGAGGGAGAAAAGCUGUUUAACAUCGCCACGGGAAAAGCUGUUUCGCAAGAGAUUUCAUCUUUUCUUCUGAACAUAAAUGUAAUCGGUAAACAGGCCAGUGAACGAUUCACCCAGCGCUGCCUUGAUGACCUAUCAAAGUUUCACGACUCCAUCCCAAAAAUUUAAAUUUUAACCUUUGCAACAGAGGGGCAGUGUCCGCCAAAUCAUCGAAUAUUUAAAUCAUUUUUGACGAUUUUGAUUUUUAUUUAAAAAUCGUUUUUAGAAAGAUGAUUUUGCAGACGAUUUUAUUGUUUUUACAAAUCGAUUUCAAAUCAAAA